UUAUUGCUUUUUAUACUUGAGUUUUCUAGCUUUGUUCGCAAAAUUUGACGAACUUGUUAAGUGUAUAUAUAUGUGUGAAUUUAUAAGUUCAGAGACUUUCAAACAAAAGAGAGAACUCAAAUGCUUCAUAUAGUUAGGUGUUGAAUGUAUGACGAGAUUGGCUUAGUUAAGUACUCCAUUGUGCUUCCCUAUGUUGAAUUGAUCAGUUCAGGUGGCUCUUGAAGUGUUUGUAUGGUUUCAUGGAAGAGUUUUUAGUUUUGAUUGAAACUGAAGCUUACUUUUAAACAUCUAAAAUUGCAACUAGAAUUAUGUAAAUUUCACUACAUUUCUGAAGACAAAGAAGAAUGUGUAAUUGAUUGACUUAUAUAUUUAUUCUUUAUCUUUGUAUUUUGCACAGUAUGUUGUGUAGUUAUUGGGGCGUUUACUUUGGAUAAUAGCUUGGAUUUACUAUAAAAGGAUUGAGUAUUUAAAGGAUUACGAGAUAGAACAAGCUCAAAGUUGUCCAAUCCAUCAAAGUAUGUGUGAAUUAGCUUAUAUAUUAUUUUUCUCUAUCCAAACCGUCAACCACAUUGUCCAGAGUAAAAACCUUGAAGUGUCUUAUAGAGCCCAGCAUCUGUCAUUUUCUCCACCAUAUGCUGAAAUGUGUAGUAGCCUUAGUUUUCUAGAAAAAGCACUAGUUUUUGAUCCCUUGUUUUGAAGAGGUUUUUAUUCCUAGCUUGUUUGGUAUGGCAGGUAUUGUAAAUGUGAGAUGCCUUAUAAUCCUGAUGACCUAAUGAUUCAGUGUGAUGGAUGCAGCGACUGACUCCAGAAACUAAGGAUCUUUCGUCAAUGCUCCACAAAGCUCUGGAGGGUGCCAUUAUACUGAAAUCUUUCCCUAAGACGACUGUUGAUGUCUGUGCUUUGGUAUUGGAAUCUGGAGGAAUCAUGUAUCGGGAAGAAUCUUCUCAUCGACCCUGUAUCAGAAGAAGAAAGCCAUCAAGAUGGGGGGGGUCUUAUGAUCACUUGCAUGCCAUCACGUAAUGAGGUCACGCAGAUGACUGUCACCAGAGAGUGGUCAACAACGAAGAUAAACGAG